ACGGAGGGUGCAAGCGUUAUCCGGAUUCACUGGGUUUAAAGGGUGCGUAGGUGGGCUAGUAAGUCCGUGGUGAAAUCCCUGAGCUUAACUUGGGAACUGCCAUUGAUACUAUUAGUCUUGAAUAUCGUGGAGGUAAGCGGAAUAUGUCAUGUAGCGGUGAAAUGCUUAGAUAUGACAUAGAACACCAAUUGCGAAGGCAGCUCACUACACAAAUAUUGACGCUGAGGCACGAAAGCGUGGGGAUCAAACAGGA
rnacentral:rRNA from 1 species